GUUGUGUUGCUUGAGUUAAUAUCAGAUAAGAAAGCACUUGAUCCGUCUUUCUCUUCUUAUGGAAAUGGAUUCAAUAUUGUUGCUUGGGCAUGCAUGCUUUUACGGCAGGGCCGUGCUAAGGAGUUCUUUACGGCUGGUCUAUGGGAUUCAGGUCCACAUGAUGAUUUGGUUGAGGUCCUACACUUGGCUGUGGUCUGCACGGUUGACUCUCUUUCUACUAGACCUACAAUGAAGCAAGUAGUAAGACGGUUGAAGCAACUUCAACCCCCGUCGUGUUAGCUGCUGCAUGUGUUUUGGAUAGGAUAUGGUUUAGCCCAAUUGUAAUUUUAAAACUUGCCCUUGAUAGUAAGGUGUAUUUGGGUGUCUCGUAUUAGGUUCAGAUUUGUAUUUGUAGCCUGCUUGUGAAUUGUAGUAUAUAGCCAGCCCCCAUUUUUCCAUGUCAUGUCCCUAAUUAGGGGGUGUGCAGAUUCAUCUGCAGAAGAGUGCAGAUACUUGUCUUCAACA
rnacentral:misc_RNA from 1 species